rnacentral:rRNA from 1 species
AUGAUCCUCGGCGACCAUAAUGGAUCAAUCAUUUUUUCCUCAUGCCGGUUCCUCACUACAUGUGUUAGUGCUUUGGAAGCAGAGAUGGCUGCAUGUAUGGAAGGGAUCGCUCUCACCCUAGAGUGGAGUACUAUGCCGUUCAUUCUAGAAACUGAUAGUAGUGUUGCAGCUAACAUGGUCAAGGAGGAGAAGGAGAACAGGUCACCAGUCGCUGCUCUCGUCGGCGAAACCAAACGACUCCUUGCUCUGGGCCGGGAGCAUGUGAUAUUGCAUGUUAGUAGAGAUCUUAAUAAAGUGAGUCAUUACCUAGCUCAGAUAGGUCACUCUACCCCUAAAACUGCAGUUUGGCUGUGAUGUGGACCUGAUGAAAUUGGCAACCUUUGCCAACAGGAUUGUAACAAUCUUCCCUGA